CAUGCCGUAAACGGUGGGCGCUAGGUGUAGGGGACUUCCACGUCUUCUGUGCCGCAGCUAACGCAUUAAGCGCCCCGCCUGGGGAGUACGGCCGCAAGGCUAAAACUCAAAGGAAUUGACGGGGGCCCGCACAAGCGGCGGAGCAUGUGGAUUAAUUCGAUGCAACGCGAAGAACCUUACCUGGGCUUGACAUACACCAGAUCGCUGCAGAGAUGUAGCUUCCCUUGUGGCUGGUGUACAGGUGG
rnacentral:rRNA from 1 species